AGUGAACGCUGGCGGUAGGCCUAACACAUGCAAGUCGAACGGCGGCACAGUAAGAGCUUGCUCUUACGGGUGGCGAGUGGCGGACGGGUGAGGAAUACAUCGGAAUCUACUUUUUCGUGGGGGAUAACGUAGGGAAACUUACGCUAAUACCGCAUACGACCUACGGGUGAAAGCAGGGGAUCUUCGGACCUUGCGCGAUUGAAUGAGCCGAUGUCGGAUUAGCUAGUUGGCGGGGUAAAGGCCCACCAAGGCGACGAUCCGUAGCUGGUCUGAGAGGAUGAUCAGCCACACUGGAACUGAGACACGGUCCAGACUCCUACGGGAGGCAGCAGUGGGGAAUAUUGGACAAUGGGCGCAAGCCUGAUCCAGCCAUACCGCGUGGGUGAAGAAGGCCUUCGGGUUGUAAAGCCCUUUUGUUGGGAAAGAAAAGCAGCAGGUUAAUACCCCGCUGUUCUGACAGUACCCAAAGAAUAAGCACCGGCUAACCUCGUG
rnacentral:rRNA from 1 species